CCUGAUAGUUCAGUUGGUAAAGCAUCUGUCUGCAAUGCAGGAGACCCCAGUUCCAUUCCUGGGUCAGG
rnacentral:tRNA from 1 species